ACUACCUUAUCAGCAGUAUUGCUGUAUUUAAAAUACUUUAUUGAAGAACUUUCUACUCUUAAGUACCAGGUGUCAACCCUUUGAAAGGCCAUUCAAGUCCACCUGAAGACCAGAGGAUGACUUUAGUACUGAGUCCCUAUGGAACUUCUUAUGAGUUGGGGUUUGUUUUGUAAAGAUGCACACCCCACCUUCUGACUCCCUCACAUAGGUACAUUCAGAACUCACACACUGAAAACAAACCCUAGCUUCACCUCCUUAAAGGGGGCUGAGCUGAGCUAAUGGCGUUGUUUGCAUCUUCCAUACUGGCAGAAGGGGAGGGAGUGCUUGCCCUGUGGCCAUGCACUGACGUUGAUAGACUCCUGGUGAACUUGUAACACAGCUAACCAUAACUAGAAUGUACUUAGCAAUAAUAGGGCUUAACAUAGCUUUCAAGGGCUCAUUUUUUUCCUUUGAAUUAGUCACUUGAACUAAUUAUAAAUAAAAAUGUAUCUCAAAAUAAAAAACUAUGCUUCAGAUAUUUAUACCUUGGUAUAAAUCAGGCUUGACCUGGGACUUGUGUUAAAGCUGUUUUAACUCUUGGCUGCAGAUUGACUCUGCAUGGACAUUUGACUAAACUCAGGAGCUUGCAGUGGUAAUGUCUGAGCAACCGAGUUUUAUUUUUAUAGUUUGUCAAUACAAGGGUUUACUCUGUAGCUCAAGCUGACUUGGAACUCCUAGAUAGCCCAGGCUGCACUUAGAUUGAUGCAAUCCUCCUCUAUCAACCCCUCAGUACUGGGACAGCAGGCGUGAGGAGCCAUGCAAACAUCACUACAAACUCCUGGCUGUGGAUGUGCCGUGGCUGACAGGUCACUAAACUAAAACCCUGUGGGGGACACAUGACAUCUAUGCAACUGAAAAGAGUUUUAGUGGCCAAGUGGUUUUUUUUCUUUAUUCUAGUCUGAUUUUAUUUUUUAUAAUUACUUGAAUUUAUCAUUUUCCCUAAUAAAAGAUAAAUAUAU
rnacentral:lncRNA from 1 species